rnacentral:rRNA from 1 species
GAUGAACGCUGGCGGCGUGCCUAAUACAUGCCAGUCGAGCGAACGGACGAGAAGCUUUCUUCUCUGAUGUUAGCGGCGGACGGGUGAGUAACACGUGGAUAACCUACCUAUAAGACUGGGAUAACUUCGGGAAACCGGAGCUACUACCGGAUAAUAUUUUGAACCGCAUGGUUCAAAAGUGAAAGACGGUCUUGCUGUCACUUAUAGAUGGAUCCGCGCUGCAUUAGCUAGUUGGUAAGGUAACGGCUUACCAAGGCAACGAUGCAUAGCCGACCUGAGAGGGUGAUCGGCCACACUGGAACUGAGACACGGUCCGGACUCCUACGGGAGGCAGCAGUAGGGAAUCUUCCGCAAUGGGCGAAAGCCUGACGGAGCAACGCCGCGUGAGUGAUGAAGGUCUUCGGAUCGUAAAACUCUGUUAUUAGGGAAGAACAUAUGUGUAAGUAACUGUGCACAUCUUGACGGUACCUAAACAGAAAGCCACGGCUAACUACGUG